UGAAUACGAGACGCUAAGGCGUUGAAGUAGUGUAUGUCAUACUUCCAAGAAAAGCUUGCACUGUCAUAGAUAAAAAACGCCUGUACCAUAACCGACACAGGUGGGUAGGUAGAGUAUACUAAGGGGCGCGAGAUAACUCUCUCUAAGGAACUCGGCAAAAUAACUCCGUAACUUCGGGAGAAGGAGUGCCUUAUUUAUAAGGCUGCAAUAACAAGAUCCAAGCAACUGUUUAUCAAAAACACAGGUCUCCGCUAAGUCGUAAGACGAUGUAUGGGGGCUGACGCCUGCCCAGUGCCAGAAGGUUAAAGAAGUUGGUUAGCAAUAGCGAAGCUGAUAACUGAAGCCCUGGUGAACGGCGGCCGUAACAAUAACGGUCCUAAGGUAGCGAAAUUCCUUGUCGGGUAAGUUCCGACCCGCACGAAAGGCGUAAUGAUUUGGAUACUGUCUCGGAGAGGGGCUCGGUGAAAUAGACUUGUCUGUGAAGAUGCGGACUACCUGCACCAGGACAGAAAGACCCUAUGAAGCUUUACUGUAACUUGAAAUUGAAAUUGGACUUUAUUCGCGCAGUAUAGGUGGGAGGCGUUGAUUGUAAUCUUGCGGGAUUAUUGGAGCCAUCAGUGAGAUACCACCCUUGUAAUGUUAGAUUUCUAACUUUGAAUCAUUAUCUGGUCAAAGAACAGUUUCAGGCGGGCAGUUUGACUGGGGCGGUCGCCUCCUAAACGGUAACGGAGGCGUACAAAGGUUUCCUCUGAACGGUUAGAAAUCGUAUCUAGAGUGUAAAGGCAUAAGGAAGCUUGACUGUGAGACCUACAAGUCGAGCAGGGACGAAAGUCGGUCUUAGUGAUCUGACGGUACUGAGUGGAAAGGCCGUCACUCAACGGAUAAAAGUUACUCUAGGAUAACAGGCUGAUCUCCCCCAAGAGUUCACAUCGACGGGGAGGUUUGGCACCUCGAUGUCGGCUCAUCGCAUCCUGGGGCGGUAGUACGUCCCAAGGGUUGGGCUGUUCGCCCAUGAAAGCGGUACGCGAGCUGGGUUCAGAACGUCGUGAGACAGUUCGGUCCAUAUCCGGUGUAGGCGUUAGAAUAUUGAGAGGAGCCUUCUUUAGUACGAGAGGACCGAGAAGGACAUACCUCUGGUGUACCAGUUAUCGUGCCAACGGUAAACGCUGGGUAGCUAUGUAUGGAGUGGAUAGCCGCUGAAAGCAUCUAAGUGGGAAGCCCACCUCAAGAUAAGUAUUCUCC
rnacentral:rRNA from 1 species